GGUCAAGUCAGGGGUGGAGACAAUGCGGGCCCCUCCCCCGCUGAUUCAGCGCCUCUCCUAAUGAGGUGAGGCCUCAGGUUUAGGAAGGGUUGCCACACCCACUGGUAGGGGGAGGGUCUGUGAUUCUGUAACUGGAGGAUAGGUAGGGGGCUUCGGUUGUAGACUGAGUAGGGAGCUGACCUAAGCCGGUAGAUUCAAGUACUGCCCGAGAGAUCUCUGCCUUUCCGCCCCACACCCCAGUCACCCCGCGCCAGGCUCUCGGCGCGUCAGAUCCCGGCCCUGCGUUCUUCAUCUCCUGCCCCGCCACGCCCCCAACUGCAGAUCCAACUCGGGUCUCUCCGAAAGCAGCAAGGAGCCUCGGGGUGGGCUCUAUGCCCCGUGAUGCUCCGCGUCUGGGAACGGAUGAAGGGGUGCCAGCAACCCCCGCCGUCCCCGCUGUCGAUCCGGGUUUACACGAGGCUCAUCCGGGAUUAGUCCCUGCGGUCGGCUAAUCCCAGCGGCUGGACCGACCCCGGGGUCCGGAGCGAGGCCCACACAGUACCGGCCUAGGGAGCUAGGGCGCGGGUCGAGCAAAAGCGCGCGACGCUGGGCGGGUGUGGGGGUGGGGAGGGGCGGAGGAGGGAGCAACGCCCCGGGAGGCGGGGCCAGGAACCGGCUGAUCCGGUCUCUGUUUUCCGACCUCUCCGGAGCGGGUGUUUACCCGGGAGCCGGACGGAGGAGGCCGGGGCCGGUCGAGCCCGGAAGGGGGGAGGGGAGCGCAGUCGGAGACCGAGGCUGAGACCUUUUCGGUUCCUUUCCCCUAAAUCGACUUCCAACCCUCGUUCCUGAGCGUGGGAGAACGCGGCAGACAGACAGAUGUCUCCCGCCCCUUAUCCUAUCCAGUUCCGCAAUUCACACUCGUUGCCAAAGAGUGGGGAGCGGGAAUGGAUACACCCGGGAACGACUGCACGUCCUGCGGGCGCCCGGGGAAGAAGGCAGCGCAGCACAAAACCUCUCCUGCGGUCACCUCCCACCCCAUCCUGCACCUGAGUUCUUGCGGGGAGGGGGUGCCCACAGCAGGUCGGGCCCAGAGGAUCCGGCAGGGGUCACUUUGAGGUGUACGGACUAGGAGUCUAUCCUCAGAACGCGUCAGCUCGACCCCAUCCCCGAUUAAUACCAGUGCGGGUCUCAGUCUCUUGUCCCUCGCGUCCCCCAGCCCUCUCCAAGGCCUCCAGAUUUAGCUCCCACUCUCCACGGGACGCAGGCCCGAGGACCCGGAAGAAGCUGAGUGGGGUCCGGUUUUCACACUUUUAUUGUAAAGCUCGGGAAUAAUUACACGGGUCUUUCAUUGACAGCUCAGCAAACAAACCGGAAACGAACCGAACCGGAGGGGGUAGGGGCGGUGCCUGCGCAUGCUCGCGGCGGGGUGGGGGGGGGCAGUGGGAAGUGGCACGAACCAAGAGAAACACGACCCCAAUGUGGGCACCCGACGCGCCCAAAACCCCCCACCCCGACCCCCACCCCCCUACACACGAGAGAGACACGGCCCCCCUCCCCACUAGAUAACCCGAGGAGACACAGUCUCCCCUCCCCAUGGGCAGACACACCCGCCCGAAACCCCAUGGGCGGGACACAGUCCCCCCUCCCAGAGAAGUCCCCAGUGGAGACGCCCCUUAAGAGACUUUCUCAUGGCCAACACAAGCCCUCCCAACACCCGGAGACAGCCCCGACCCAGGGAAGAAAUGGCUCCAGAGGCCCUACCCUCGGGAGAGAGAGGUAUCCCAGGGCUCCUAGGAGAAAAGACAACUCAGAGAUGCCCAGCCUCAUCCUAAAGUGCUGCAGGGCAGAGAAACCCCCAUAGGAGAGAUGGGGGUAGGGCCAGAAACAUCCCUUCCCAGACGUGUUUCAGAGAUAGCCCCCUUCCCUGGGAAGAGAGAUGGCCCGAAACUGACUUGCCUUAAGUACUCCCAGGAACCCUGGGAGGAAAACAGGCUCCCCAGAGAGCCUGGGUAAUUGGGGGAGACAUGCUCCCGUGGUCCUCAGCGGGAACACAUGUCCCCCGGAGACUCCCAAGGGGAGAGAUAGGGCCUAGAGAGACCCCAGAGGUGAGGGAUGCCCAGAGAACUUCCCCCCACCCCGGAAUGUGAAACAUGCUUCAAGGACCCUAGGAGAGAAAUAUGUCCCCAUAUACCCUCCCCCUACGGAGAGACAUGCCCUGAAGUAGGGGGAUGGGGACCGACUAGGUCCCCUCUGGGAAGACACAGACUGGGUCAGGCUGGGUUUGAGGGGGGCUCUCCUCUGGCCAAAUGUCGCCUAUUGGUACAUAAAACUGUACGCGACACAGGCAUUGGGGAGGGGCUUCACAGACCUAGGACCCACAGGGAUAGUCCCCAGUGCUGUCGCCAACCCCUGCCCACCUUUGGUUUCAUCUCUCCAGUGCCCAGUUGGUGACAGACUCAGUGCCCUGGCCCCAACCAGGGGGCUGGGGGCUCUGUCUUUGCCUGUGGGAAGGGCUUCUCAGCUCUCCCAGCCAUCUGGGCCACCCUCUUUCUUCUGGCUUCUCCAUUGUGCAAAAUGCUCCUCUGCUCUUCUGCUCAGUGCUCAGGGGUCUCUAAGACCAGGGCAAGGUACCCAGGCCACUAGGGGCUUCCAGUGGGAGUCCACUGACCCCAGGAAUGCCGCCUGUCUGGACCACCUUCUCCACCAAGCAAAUGGGCCUCAUACAAUCUUCUUGCCCGAAUCCUGACCUCCAGGACCCAGGACAAUCCUUGAGGCCACUGUUCCACCAGCUGGGCACCCAAUACUACCAACUCCAAGACUAUUGCACCUGCCCCAUUUGUGCAGGGGAAAGGGGCUGUCUCUUUAACAAGCCCCAAGCCCAUCUCCUGGGCCUCCCCAAGGGAAAGGAGCCUUUGGCCAACCCCUAGACCUGGCUGCUGCCACCCCAUCCCAUUCUACCCCUUCCCCUCUGUAGAAGGGCUUCGUAUGCCAGGGCUACCAGCCUAACAAUGCUCUCCUUCCUAGCACUGUCACCCCAAGCCAAGUUGGGGGUAAGGGGCAGAUAAAUAGGGUGAUUCUUCAGGCCCCUGGCUUUUCCGGGGUGGGGGUGGGGUCUCUGGGGUACAAGAGUCAAGACCCCAGCAGCACAGCUCCCAAAGGCACCAGACGACCCCGCAGCCUGUACCCACCGCUCGCAAUCUUGGACCACCUCCCCAAGCUUAGACUAAGUCAAGCAAGGGCCAUACCCUGAGUCUCCAGCCUCCCAGCCUGGGCCCCUAGGGAGCUGGAGAGGUAUGGGCCAAGGCAGUGGGGGUUUCUGGAAGGAAGAGGGGCUGAGGCUUUGAGAUGGCCACAGUGGGAGACGGGGGCUCUGCAGGACGCCCCUUACACCCUGGCCCCCUGAGGUGAAGAAGAGAACUUCACCUCAUCAUGGCUGACUGGGCUUCUCUGCCCCCCAACCUCCCUACCCCCUCCCCCAUGGGACCCCUGACCCUGACAAAGGGAAGCCCAACUGGAAGAAGGGGGCCUGGGUUGGGGGGCACUGCGGCAGGGAGGAGGGGGCACAGGGCAGGUCCCCCCCCAGAGGGGUCCCCCAAGACAACACGACAUCAACAAGAAAAGUUGCAAAUCAGGCAGAAAUGGGGACGUCAUUCCAAGGUCCUUAUAUACAGACACUGCAUGACCAGCAGGGAAUGGGGGCCCAGAUGGGACUAGGCGUGGGCAUGUGGCAGGCAGGUGG
rnacentral:lncRNA from 10 species